rnacentral:lncRNA from 1 species
CGCACGGAGGCUGGUUUGCGAGAGAGAACGCACACUUUCUACUGAAUGGGAAGCGGUGCGUGUGUUCGUACCGAGGGUAUUGAUCUGGACCAUCGCAUCCAUCAUGAGGACCCGCCACUCAACAAUCUCCACCGACGUACAACGAAGCACUUAACUACCCCAAGUUUUCAUUUGAGCAUGUGACAACAUUUCCCAGUGCCGAAUCGUGUAACUGGUCACGCUCCACCGUGGAGCCUACACAGACCCCCCCCUUAUCAGCUCCCUGGAAGACAUCCACGAUGAGAGUCGACCCCACGACUCGGACAAUGGCGGGACACAUCGUUCCUCAGCCAUCAGCCGGGGGUCGAACAGCGGGGAGACAACCGCCGAACUCCUGUUGGAUGUCCCUUCCUCUUCCAGGACGGACUCCACGGGGCUGGAGGAUACAGGGAGCAAAACAUCAAGUGGGGAGACGAAAUCAAAACUUAAAUAUUUCUGGAAAAAUGGCAAGAUUCAGAAGAAGAGGAAUGGGAAGAAGGUGAGCCAGGAGGACGAAGUUCGUUACUGCUGGAGGAAUGGGAAGGUCAUCGCAAUACGAGGAAUUGGGGAUAGCUAUUCGGAAUCAGAAGCCAAGUCCAACCCCCGAGUCGUCACCUGCUUCACAAUAUCUGUCUGGCUAGGUUUCUUCUUCUUUGUUGCCGUUGUCGUCAUCGUCCUCUUCUUCCUUCUUUCCUGAUUUGACCGGAAGUUCCCGGACAAUGCCGCUGCAAGUCAGAACAAUGUCCUCACGACGUCAAAAAAUAUUCAACGAUUCCUGCGAGACACGACAAUGGGAGAAAUAAAUCUGUACAACACCUCCACUCUGGAUAAAGAACUGUCUGAUUUGAAACGGGUUAUUUGCAACACAUUAUCAUCUCAGGGUUGUCUCCGAAGUAUGAAGGUCGUGAUUGCCUGCUAGUUAUGAUAUUGUGUUACAGCCUGGCACCAAAACAUCAUUUGCAGCGACAUGAAUUUGUGUUCUGGAUCGUCGAAGGAGGUAGUCUCGAAAAUCAUUUGCACAAAGGACCUUCAGAUGCAACAUGUAAUAGUAUAACGUCAGUGUCGUCUUACUUUGGUCAUCGAUGACAAGGAUCUCUCGGGAUCUCCAGAGGAUCUCCAGGGGAUUUGUCAAUGCAGGGUGCAGUAUAUUUGAGUGACUCCUGGUUGAAAGAACUACAGUAGAAUUUAACUCAUUUCUUUGUAUGGAUCUACUGACAAAGCAGUUCUGACUUUGGAACAUACAGUAGUUAGCGUGUUUCAUAUGCCAUUCGGUUCGAGAUUACUUUUGACAUUGUUUGCAGUUACAGCAAAUAUGAACAAAAUGCGCUACCGGAAAAACAACCGACGUUUCAACGCCAUCAUAUUGUGUGUCGCAAUUUUGAUAAGGGAUGUUAAGGAAUGAUACAAGGCCACCCGACUCCUGUGCCCGUACGGAUGCGCAGGGUGAUAUACGCUCAUCACGUUGAUCGUGUGUUAUCAGUGAUGACGUCAUCGCUGCAAGCCUCAAUGUCGUUUUUCUUUACAGUCAUACUCUUCUACAUUCCCCGAUGAAUGACAUUUCGUAAUUUUGGAGUUUGUUUUGGAAUUGUGGAUUUAAUUUGAGCCAGAAACCAGUACCCAGCCCUAGAUAUGUGAGUUGAUGUGUAGGAUCUUGUGACAGCACAAGAACUGGUAACGUUUCACACACUUUUUCAUACACGAUUUUACCAUCAGCACUCUUGAAUUUUACUAGUGAUACUUAUGACAAAAUGUAUUAAUUGUCUCAAUCUUCAACACUUUUCACUUUUCACUUUUAAUUAACAGUCUUAUGUAUUACACAAAUACCUUUCAAUGGAUAGGAUAGUGUAUAGGGUUAGAACUGUUCUUACCUUCUUUAUAUGUGAAGCAUAUUGAUAGGUAGUUUUGGUACCAAUGGCGUGCUACUUCUUUAUGAGCAUGUGCACUCUAGUAAUUCAUGUUCAUCCUUGAAUCUACAACAGACGCAUAGAGAUGCUUUAAUCAUCCCAUUUUCAACGACGCAAUUCAGCUACCACAAUGUUGAAGAGACAAACGAAGCGAACCAUGUUGAUCUCCCGAAUUGAGUACAUUUAUUGUACAUAAGUCACAUUACAUCAAUGAUGUGCAAAAUAUGGUAUUUAAUUUCGAUUGUCUCAACUUUGAAGUCUCAACUUUGUUGGACGAAUAUUCACCUUCCCUUAAAUGUCCAUGAUGGAAGACCGUAUCUUGUAUUGUCUAUAAGUGAUAUUAUUAUGAUAUUUUAACACGGAAAAAGUACGUUGAUCGUUCGGAACAAAAUCUUCAGAGAAAUGUUUCCAUGAAAUUGACUUGUUUAUUAUUGUUUCUGCAACUUCCUGCGAUAAGGAUGAUACAUAUUAAUGAUACUUCUAUUCAAGAAAUUUGUCUGUGAUAACACCCCAAGUUCAAAGGAAUGGAGCUUAAUUUAUUAGUGCAACUAUUUUCAAUGAAGACAUGUAAUGAUGAUGAAUCCACAAGUAUGUAGCCAUCAAACUUCGUAUCUCUUCCAAACAUACUUUGAGAACACUUCAGUAGCUUUCAUCGGGAAUACGUUAUUUGUAAACCUGUAAUUUACGUGAAGACGAUUUACCAAGUUCCUUGUUUCAGUUUGAAAACACAACCAGACAAGUUAAUUAAGUGGGUUAAUUUCAAAAUGGUUUGAGAUUAUGUUAGUUACGUUUAUGACACUAUCUUGUUAUCUAUUUAAUUGUUUUUAUUAACUAAAACAUGUCUGACGUCAUGCGCUAGUUAUUUUUGUUGAUCGAUUUUACAUAUUCCUGUGCCAUGGUUAUAAUGCUUAUUCUUAUGCUUGUUACUAGUUGUAUUAUCAUUACUACUGAGUUUCUUGCAGAGCAAUUUGUGAAGCAAUAUGUUCUAUAUAUUGUUGGUUUCUUACAAGGCAUGAUGGCCGAAAUGUUACCAUAUGUACGUUCUUUCUUCUUUCUUGUCUUGCAGGAACUCCGAAUGCCAAAAUCUAACAUUUUUCUCCUUUCUAUGUGUAAAUGAAUCCCAUGCUGUUACAAACAACUCCAAUGUCUUGCUAUGCUAUUAAUCAGCUGUUGUCGAGGAUAUGAUUAUUUCAACUAUUCCUCUUCACAGUUUUGUAUCCAUCUGUAUGAUGUGCCGAAGGGGUGGUAGGUGGUUAAAGCGUACGUUCGCCCGACGAGCCAGCUUUGAUAUAUCCCCGCCCCGGAAUGCAUUGAAUAUUGCUUAUAGAGUUAAGAACGAUAACCCUCUCACUAUCCCUUUGAGAUCAAUAGCAAUAACUGAUUGCUAUCCUGAAGUUAAUGAAAACUAACAACACUUUUGCCAUGAAGGACAUCAGCCAACAAAACAUCAACUGCUAUAUUUAAUACUUGCCAUUGCAUACUGUCACAUAUGUAGGCGGGGGUGGGAGUUACGUCCCGUAGAUGAGCCAGGAACAUAUGACCAUGAUGUUGAAUCUCUGAUUACCCCUGGUCAUGUUUCAAGGUUUGUAAAUUCCACGGGUUUCACGAAAGUCACACUCUGCUGAGACUUGGACCACUUUCACAUCGGGGUGGUGGGGUAGCCUAGUGGUUAAAGCGUUCGCUCGUCACGCCGAAGACCCGGGUUCGAUUCCCCACAUGGGUGCAAUGUGUGAAGCCCAUUUCCGGUGUCCCUCGCCGUGAUAUUGCUGGAAUAUUGCUAAAAGCGGCGUAAAAAUAAACUCACUCACUCACUUCACCCCAACAUCAAGCAAAUAUGUAAAUGGAAUACUGACAUUAAACCAGACUCACUUAAUCACAUCCUCACUGACCCACGACUGUGGUACACAAUAUGAAUACAGUAUACAAAGCAUCGUUGAUGCUACGUAUCAUUGCAGUCUGAAAAAGUAAUAAAUGACAGUAUUUUAAUAUACAUGUGUGUAUUAGGUAUAACUAUAUGAAAUACGAGCUCUGUUGGAUGGCAUUGCCAGCAAAGUGGUCUCUAGUUGUCCAGUUUUGUCCAGUUAUGAUCGAUUUUGGUUGAUUUCUGGACAGAAAGCAAAAACGACUCCGAUUUGACUGAUACGUCCCAUCGUAACUGCCUCACUUCAAUACAAUGAAA